UGUGGCUCAGCUGGUAAAGAGCACUUGACUGGUGUUCAUGAGGCUCUGGGUUCCAUUCCAGCA
rnacentral:tRNA from 1 species